UCAAAGUUGAAUGCAGACUGAGCCCAAUGAAGGAAAUUCAUUAUGGGAUAAUUAAGUCAAUAGAAAGUACAUCUCAAGUAGCCUUUUGAAAAGACAGUGGAAUGACCGUUGUUUGCAUUCAAAUCUCUGGGCCUCGAAAAAGAUGAGUGUAAUAUCUCUCCCACUACUGAACUGAGGAAGAAGAACCAAGAGCAGGAUGCAUGUGGGUUCGCUCCAUGGAUCUGUUUCUGUACCCCAGACCAGCAAGUUGUCACAUUCUGGAGUGUUUUAAACAGGGACAGCUCUCCAAUUUUGUGGAUGAUGGAUCUCAUGACAUGGUCACCAAAGACGAUCUCCCAUUCAGGCACUAAACCGGCUGAGGGCUCUUUUGCUUCAGAAGCAGAACAAGACAGAGUGUCUUCCACCCUAGACCUUGGAAAGGGACUAUUAAGGAAAAUGAAUACAAUGGCGUACUGAAGCCAUCCACAACCGAGCAGGAUGAGGAGGAUGCUGUGGCUCCAGCUGCUGCAUCAUCUUACCGCUGCUUACAGCUGAUCCUGGGACAGAGAAAAACUUCAUUGGAUUUUACAGCCACAACUGAAGCCUCCCAAGGCUUACUGAGAGAAGAAAUGUGCCGCCCCUUGGGAAUUCAAAAAUAUUUGAGGCUUACGGGGGGAGUUUCGGAAAAAAUGAACAACUUACAAGACAUUGUGUGCUUUGUAAAAUAACGAAUGGCUAAAAUGCAGGCAACUGAGGGGGAAAAUCCACGAACAUGCCUGAGUCAGUGUUGGGGGGGAUCAUACCAUAGAUAAAAGUCAUAACUAAAUAUUCAACUUAGAAUGUGUUUCUAAACAUAUGGAUAAAGAUCC